rnacentral:rRNA from 1 species
UAGGGAAUCUUCCGCAAUGGACGAAAGUCUGACGGAGCAACGCCGCGUGAGUGAAGAAGGAUUUCGGUUCGUAAAACUCUGUUGUUAGGGAAGAAAAAAUGUAUAGUAACUAUAUACAAUAGAGACGGUACCUAACCAGAAAGCCUCGGCUAACUACGUGCCAGCAGCCGCGGUAAUACGUAGGUGGCAAGCGUUGUCCGGAAUUAUUGGGCGUAAAGCGCGCGCAGGUGGUUUAGAAAGUCUGAUGUGAAAGCCCACGGCUCAACCGUGGAGGGUCAUUGGAAACUAAUAAACUUGAGUGCAGGAGAGAAAAGUGGAAUUCCUAGUGUAGCGGUGAAAUGCGUAGAGAUUAGGAGGAACACCGGUGGCGAAAGCGGCUUUUUGGCCUGCAACUGACACUGAGGCGCGAAAGCGUGGGGAGCAAACAGG